rnacentral:rRNA from 1 species
CCUACGGGAGGCAGCAGUGGGGAAUUUUGGACAAUGGACGCAAGUCUGAUCCAGCCAUGCCGCGUGCGGGAAGAAGGCCUUCGGGUUGUAAACCGCUUUUGUCAGGGAAGAAACGGGUUUCUCUAAUACAGAGACCUAAUGACGGUACCUGAAGAAUAAGCACCGGCUAACUACGUGCCAGCAGCCGCGGUAAUACGUAGGGUGCAAGCGUUAAUCGGAAUUACUGGGCGUAAAGCGUGCGCAGGCGGUUAUGCAAGACAGAUGUGAAAUCCCCGGGCUCAACCUGGGAACUGCAUUUGUGACUGCAUGGCUAGAGUACGGUAGAGGGGGAUGGAAUUCCGCGUGUAGCAGUGAAAUGCGUAGAUAUGCGGAGGAACACCGAUGGCGAAGGCAAUCCCCUGGACCUGUACUGACGCUCAUGCACGAAAGCGUGGGGAGCAAACAGGAUUAGAUACCCUGGUAGUCCACGCCCUAAACGAUGUCAACUGGUUGUUGGGAGGGUUUCUUCUCAGUAACGAAGCUAACGCGUGAAGUUGACCGCCUGGGGAGUACGGCCGCAAGGUUGAAACUUAAUGAAUUGACGG